rnacentral:rRNA from 1 species
UGGGGAAUAUUGCACAAUGGGCGCAAGCCUGAUGCAGCAACGCCGCGUGAACGAUGAAGGUCUUCGGAUCGUAAAGUUCUGUUGCAGGGGAAGAUAAUGACGGUACCCUGUGAGGAAGCUCCGGCUAACUACGUGCCAGCAGCCGCGGUAAUACGUAGGGGGCUAGCGUUAUCCGGAUUUACUGGGCGUAAAGGGUGCGUAGGUGGUCCUUCAAGUCGGUGGUUAAAGGCUACGGCUCAACCGUAGUAAGCCGCCGAAACUGGAGGACUUGAGUGCAGGAGAGGAAAGUGGAAUUCCCAGUGUAGCGGUGAAAUGCGUAGAUAUUGGGAGGAACACCAGUAGCGAAGGCGGCUUUCUGGACUGCAACUGACACUGAGGCACGAAAGCGUGGGUAGCAAACAGG